rnacentral:rRNA from 1 species
GAUGAACGCUGGCGGCGUGCCUAAUACAUGCAAGUCGAGCGAACAGACGAGGAGCUUGCUCCUCUGACGUUAGCGGCGGACGGGUGAGUAACACGUGGAUAACCUACCUAUAAGACUGGGAUAACUUCGGGAAACAGGAGCUAAUACCGGAUAAUAUAUUGAACCGCAUGGUUCAAUAGUGAAAGACGGUUUUGCUGUCACUUAUAGAUGGAUCCGCGCCGCAUUAGCUAGUUGGUAAGGUAACGGCUUACCAAGGCAACGAUGCGUAGCCGACCUGAGAGGGUGAUCGGCCACACUGGAACUGAGACACGGUCCAGACUCCUACGGGAGGCAGCAGUAGGGAAUCUUCCGCAAUGGGCGAAAGCCUGACGGAGCAACGCCGCGUGAGUGAUGAAGGUCUUCGGAUCGUAAAACUCUGUUAUUAGGGAAGAACAAAUGUGUAAGUAACUAUGCACGUCUUGACGGUACCUAAUCAGAAAGCCACGGCUAACUACGAG